ensembl:lncRNA
GUUGUUAGGAAUUACCUGAAAAGUGGAAGGAUCUUGAAAAGAUUGCCUUCACUGUAAAGCAUGAAGUGGUACCUCUGCAGUCCAAUGAAGUGUCUGUUAUCAGAAGAAAACCUGUACUUUUGGAGGGGGAGGCAAUGAUCCUCCUUUUAAACAUGACGACUUCCCUCCCCUACCAGCUUUCCUACCAGGACAACUAUUAGUGACGAAAAAGUGGAGUGAAGAGCAAUUUCUGGAUAAAGCAUAAAAGGUUCUCACAGACUGUAUCAAAGUACUGGUGAAUGGUGGAAGACAAAACCUUCCCUCUGUGCAAACUCAUAAAGAUAUUGCAAAGCUGGAGGUUCAGCUGAAAAUGCUUCCAGCACUCCUUUCUACUACAUCUUUCUGUAGUGUGCAGAUUAUAGAUGGCUGAAACAGUUCUUUGCUGAUGUCAUUUUGCUAAAGCCUGUGUGUAAUAUAGUGGCCUUUUGAAGGUAAGACCUUUUGCCUUGAUUUAGCUUUCAUAAUGAGGAAAAAGAAGUGCUUGUCCUCUUCGCUUAAGGAAAGAAGAGAGAGCAUUCCCUAAGAGUAAAGUAUAGAGAAUUUCACAUGUUCGUUACUGUUCAGUUUUGCUGACUUUAGAGACCCUUUAAACUCAAAGAGGAGAAGGGGGGUGGAAAAGACCCUUGAAUGAUAAUUCUAUUAAAUUUCUGAUUACUUUUUUGUGGUAACGGCAUGCUUAGAAAACUGCCCUUUUUUCUCAUCUGAAUAUUACUGUAUUUUAAAGGACAACUCUGAAUUAUUUAGGAACAUGUAACCAAAAAUGAUCGAAGAGCAGACAGAGUAAAAUCAAAAAAAAACAGAUGCUGGGCAAACACAUCAAUAUGCUGUUUGAUGAUCCUUCUCUAAUGAUGCCAUCACUUUCAAGUCUUUUUUUCUUCUUUUUUCCAAGACCUUUAAGAAAACUAGAUUUCUGAGUCUCAAUGAGGAAAGAUUCUAUCAUCAGUAAAUUGCAUGGACCUACUAUUCACAGUCCCCCAUCAGCUUUAUGCAUUACUGACCUCCACAGGCAUUUUAGGGGAAGGCACAGCAGGAAAAGAGAAGGUCAGUACAGAAAGCAUUAUUCCUUUUGCAAGCAAGUAACGUGUGCUUGAAUAUUGUCUUAUGCCGUUUUUAGAUAUAAAGCUUGGCUACUCUUCCUGGGAAAAUUACUUGCCCAUCAGAACUUGUUCCUUACUUCAGCCCAAGGGGCAGUGUUAAAGAGCGCUGUGAAGUUCCACUUGCUCCAUGCAACACUGUAUCUCAAAACCCAGCUGCAAUUACGAUCACGUUAGUGUUGUCUGGGUACCGGUAUGUCUUGAUCAAGAAACAGUUAUGAGCUGUGUGCCUUAUUCUUGCUGACUGGUUUGUGCAAAGCAUGGUUUUCGUGUCUGUAUAUAUGAAACCCAAGUUUGGAGAUGUGAUGAAAUUAAGCCCAGAAUGCCCCCCUUCCCCUUCCCAUCAGCUGGAAAGAAUGUUUACUUUGUGUGUUACAUAAUUUGUUAAGAAUUAAGCAAAGUAUUGGGACACUUGUUAACAUGUUUCUGUUUUCCCCUUGAAUAGGAAAAGGGUCUGCUUCACCUUGUGCAAAGGACAAAAAUGCUUCUAGAAAUGAGGUGAGAAGAGUCAAUAUUUCCUUCAGCAUUCGGAUUAAGACUGUAGGAAGUCCUUGGAGUAGAGGGGAAUGUUUGAAUCUGAGUAGACACCCAGGGAAAGUUUGAGUAUGUAAAAUCCUUUGAGUAUCUAAAAAUCUGAUAGGUUUUUAGCUAGGUAAAAGAACUCCCCCCCCAUCUUGGAAUAGAUGUUAAAUCUUAAUGGAUAUAAGUAUGUUUUUCUUUAAUUUCUGUAUACUUUUGUCU